AUUAGUGGCGGACGGGUGAGUAACGCGUGGAUAACCUGCCGUAUACAGGGGGAGUAACACUUAGAAAUAGGUGCUAAUACCGCAUAAGCGCACGGUUCCGCAUGGAACAGUGUGAAAAACUCCGGUGGUAUACGAUGGAUCCGCGUCUGAUUAGCCAGUUGGUGGGGUAACGGCCCACCAAAGCGACGAUCAGUAGCCGGCCUGAGAGGGUCGAACGGCCACAUUGGGACUGAGACACGGCCCAAACUCCUACGGAAGGCAGCAG
rnacentral:rRNA from 1 species